GGCGAGGAGAAUCUGCAGCAGUCGGCAGCAUGGUGGCUCCUGCAUAACCCCCGAGUGUGCAGCCUCAUUUCUCAUUCUCUUUCCUGAGAUGUCAACCACAGGAUGAGGCCUGCGGCAGGUCUCAGGAGGGAGAAUGUUCCAUGACUUUCACACCUUCGACCUCAAGG